AUUGAGCGCUGGCGGCAGGCCUAACACAUGCAAGUCGAACGGUAACAGGAAACAGCUUGCUGUUUCGCUGACGAGUGGCGGACGGGUGAGUAAUGUCUGGGAAACUGCCUGAUGGAGGGGGAUAACUACUGGAAACGGUAGCCAAUACCGCAUACGUCGCAAGACCAAAGAGGGGGACCUUCGGGCCUCUUGCCAUCGGAUGUGCCCAGAUGGGAUUAGCUAGUAGGUGGGGUAACGGCUCACCUAGGCGACGAUCCCUAGCUGGUCUGAGGGGAUGACCAGCCACACUGGAACUGGGACACGGUCCAGACUCCUACGGGAGGCAGCAGUGGGGAAUAUUGCACAAUGGGCGCAAGCCUGAUGCAGCCAUGUCGCGUGUAUGAAGAAGGCCUUCGGGUUGUAAAGUACUUUCAGCGGGGAGGAAGGGAGUAAAGUUAAUACCUUUGCUCAUUGACGUUACCCGCAUAAGAAGCACCGGCUAACUCCGUGCCAGCAGCCGCAGUAA
rnacentral:rRNA from 1 species